CUGAAGGCUAGCCCCACCCCUGUACUUUAAUAGGCCGGCUGAUUCCGGUGAGACCACUUACAUCUAGGGGCACCUGUGAGCACCUGACAUUAUCGACGAGACCCAAAGCCGCACUGUUCCUGCCGGCAGAGAAAGAGGAGCCAUGUACCUGCCCACAGUGACGCCCAUCAUCCUGCUGCUCACCCUCACAUCAGUCCUAGCAGAAGACGAACAGGAUGAGGUCAGCUCCGGCGAGUUACUCUCAGGCAUGGAAGACGAAGGUUACCGUUUUCUGAAUAUUUCUGAGAUCUCCGGGGAUGAGGGCGGCAGCUCUUCAUCAGGAGCCUUUUCUGGCAUACUCCCAGUCCAGCUCAACGAUACCAGUGGAAAUGACACCAGAAUGUCACCCAUGGAAAACUUCAUGCAGGAAAGUGCUGCUCUCACUGGGUGGAUGAACAACGACACCACAGUUGAUAAUAAUAACAACACUAAUGUGAUGGACUCACCCCAAAGCCAAAACAAUACUUGGUUUUAGGGAUUCUAAGCCCCAAAUACAGGGAUUAACAACUCAGUGAAACCUAUUUAAAACUAUGUGAUUUAGUUCAAAUGAAUGGAAAUUUGCACUGCUAUUCUUUAAUUUAGCUGAUUCACUAUGCUGUUGGGCAUACUAUAAAAUUAAUCAAGUCAUCUGUCAAACUAUAACCUGAUAUAAGGCAGACCCAAAAUUGGGAAAAAAACAGUAAACUUGAAGUGUUGAAACAUAAUAAAGUUGUAACUUGAAGGA